AGCUUUCUGUAUUUGUGCUGAGAUUUCGUCAGCGAUAAAACUGCUGGCAUUGACUGAUGCAACUUCUCAAAUAAGUGAAGUG
rnacentral:pre_miRNA from 1 species